UUUCCGUAGGUGAACCUGCGGAAGGAUCAUUCAUAAUAAAGUGUUUUAUGGCACUUUUUAAAAAUCCAUAUCCACCUUGUGUGCAAUGUUAGAUCUCGUCAAUCUUGGCGAGAUUUUUAUACAUCAACUCAUUCUUUAACUAAUUUGUCUGAAAAAUAUUAUGAAUACUUAAUUCAAAAUACAACUUUCAACAACGGAUCUCUUGGUUCCG
rnacentral:misc_RNA from 1 species